UACUUGUAACUUUCCAAAGUGUUCACAUUUUGGGCUGAAAUUUUCAUGAUUACUGUCUGCCCAAAAGGGAUUCUUCUUGUUUUGGGAAAGUUCAAGC
rnacentral:pre_miRNA from 1 species